GGCGUGCCUAACACAUGCAAGUCGAACGGAUCAUUUCUACGGAUUUCCUUCGAGGAUGAAUGGUUUAUCACUGAGUGGCACACGGGUGAAUCACGCGUGGGCCCCCCGCCCCGUACGGGGAGACAACUUCCAGACAACGCUGCUAAUCCCGUAUACCUUUUGAGGACCGCAAGGCCCAUACCACAAAUCUCCGGUGGGACGGUAGGCGCCCGCCUCAGAUUCUCUUGUGGGCGGGGUAACCCCCCCACCGCGCCAAUAUCUAUCCCCAGCGUGAGAUGGCCGCCCGCCAUAUUGAGACUGAUACACCCCCCACACCCCCGGGGGAGGCCACUGUGGAGUAUAUUGCACUGUGCGCGAAUCUCUGCUGCCGCCACCCCGCGUGAGCAAAGAGCUUCCUCGUUAUGUACUUCUCUGUCAGCAGGGAAGAAUAUGACAGUACCCCACCAAUAAGCCCCGGCUUACUACGUGCCAGCAGCCGCGGUAAUACGUAGGGGGCAAGCGUUAUCCGGAUUUACUGGGUGUAAAGGGAGCGCAGCCGGCGAGACAAGUCAGAUGUGAAAUCCACGGGCUCAACCCCUGCACUGCAUUGGAAACUGCUUCCCUGGAGUGUCGGAGAGGUAAUCGGAAUUCUUGGUGUAGCGGGGAAAUGCGUAGAUAUAAGGAGGAACACCAGUGGCGAAGGCGGCUUCCUGGACGCUAACUGACGUUGAGGCUGGAAAGCGUGGGGAGCAACCAGGAUUAGUUCCCUUGUUAUUC
rnacentral:rRNA from 1 species